rnacentral:rRNA from 1 species
UACGGAGGAUCCAAGCGUUAUCCGGAUUUAUUGGGUUUAAAGGGUGCGUAGGCGGCUUUUUAAGUCAGAGGUGAAAGACGGUGGCUCAACCAUCGCAGUGCCUUUGAUACUGAAGAGCUUGAAUAAACUAGAGGUAGGCGGAAUGUGACAAGUAGCGGUGAAAUGCAUAGAUAUGUCACAGAACACCAAUUGCGAAGGCAGCUUACUAUGGUUUAAUUGACGCUGAGGCACGAAAGCGUGGGGAUCAAACAGG